CACAUACUCCCUCCGUUCGAAAUUACUUGUCGCAGAAAUAGAUGUAUCUAGAUGUAUUUUAGUUCUAAAUAUAUCCAUUUCCGAGACAAGUAAUUCCGAACGGAGGGAGUACCAG
rnacentral:pre_miRNA from 1 species